AGCGAACGCUGGCGGUAGGCCUAACACAUGCAAGUCGAACGGCAGCACAGUAAGAGCUUGCUCUUAUGGGUGGCGAGUGGCGGACGGGUGAGGAAUAUAUCGGAAUCUACUUUUUCGUGGGGGUUAACGUAGGGAAACUUACGCUAAUACCGCAUCCGAUCUACGGGUGAAAGCAGGGGAUCUUCGGACCUUGCGCGAUUGAAUGAGCCGAUGUCGGAUUAGCUAGUUGGCGGGGUAAAGGCCCACCAAGGCGACGAUACGUAGCUGGUCUGAGAGGAUGAUCGGCCACACUGGAACUGAGACAGGGUCCAGACGCCUACGGGAGGCAGCAGUGGGGAAUAUUGGACAAUAGGCGCAAGCCUGAUCCAGCCAUACCGCGUGGGUGAAGAAGGCCUUCGGGUUGUAAAGCCCUUUUGUUGGGAAAGAAAAGCAGCAGGUUAAUACCCCGCUGUUCUGACGGUACCCAAAGAAUAAGCACCGGCUAACUUCGUG
rnacentral:rRNA from 1 species